rnacentral:rRNA from 1 species
GGCCCCGACGACCGCGCCCCCUCCCGCGCCGUCCUCGCGCUCAAGCGCCGCCCGCGCAUCCACGCCGGCGUCAGUCGCGUCGAGGAGGUCGAGGAGCCCCUCGACCCCGCCCUCGCCCUCGCCUGCCUCGACGACCCCGCCCGCCUCGGCGCCGUCGACUCCCCCAUCGUCCGGCUCGUCUCCGACGAGUACGGCGUCGGCGGGGACAAAGCGCCGUUCGUCUGCCUCGGCGGCUUCCGGAACACCCGCGGCGUCUAUGAGCUCGGGGAGGGUGAGGGGCAAGGGCUCAUGCUGGAGCUGGACGAGACGCAUUUCGAUUUCGGCACCAACUACGAGCUCGAGUGCAAGACCGCGGAGCCCGACCAGGCCAAGGAGGUCCUCGAGCGGCUGCUCACGGUCGCUGGGGUGCCGUAUGAGUACUCCCGGAGCAAUAAGUUCGCGUGCUUCAUGGCCGGGAAGCUGCUUCCAUGA